UGGGGAAUUUUGGACAAUGGGCGAAAGCCUGAUCCAGCAAUGCCGCGUGUGUGAAGAAGGCCUUCGGGUUGUAAAGCACUUUUGUCCGGAAAGAAAACGCCGUGGUUAAUACCCGUGGCGAAUGACGGUACCGGAAGAAUAAGCACCGGCUAACUACGUGCCAGCAGCCGCGGUAAUACGUAGGGUGCAAGCGUUAAUCGGAAUUACUGGGCGUAAAGCGUGCGCAGGCGGUCCGCUAAGACAGAUGUGAAAUCCCCGGGCUUAACCUGGGAACUGCAUUUGUGACUGGCGGGCUAGAGUAUGGCAGAGGGGGGUAGAAUUCCACGUGUAGCAGUGAAAUGCGUAGAGAUGUGGAGGAAUACCGAUGGCGAAGGCAGCCCCCUGGGCCAAUACUGACGCUCAUGCACGAAAGCGUGGGGAGCAAACAGG
rnacentral:rRNA from 1 species